rnacentral:rRNA from 1 species
CGUUCCUACGGGGGGCAGCAGUGGGGAAUAUUGGGCAAUGGGCGCAAGCCUGACCCAGCAACGCCGCGUGAGGGAAGAAGGUUUUCGGAUUGUAAACCUCUGUCCUUGGUGACGAUAAUGACGGUAGCCAAGGAGGAAGCCACGGCUAACUACGUGCCAGCAGCCGCGGUAAUACGUAGGUGGCGAGCGUUGUCCGGAAUUACUGGGUGUAAAGGGAGCGUAGGCGGGAGAGCAAGUCGACUGUGAAAUCUAUGGGCUUAACCCAU